AGUGAACGCUGGCGGUAGGCCUAACACAUGCAAGUCGAACGGCAGCACAGUAAGAGCUUGCUCUUACGGGUGGCGAGUGGCGGACGGGUGAGGAAUACAUCGGAAUCUACUUUUUCGUGGGGGAUAACGUAGGGAAACUUACGCUAAUACCGCAUACGACCUACGGGUGAAAGCAGGGGAUCUUCGGACCUUGCGCGAUUGAAUGAGCCGAUGUCGGAUUAGCUAGUUGGCGGGGUAAAGGCCCACCAAGGCGACGAUCCGUAGCUGGUCUGAGAGGAUGAUCAGCCACACGGGAACUGAGACACGGUCCAGACUCAUACGGGAGGCAGCAGUGGGGAAUAUUGGACAAUGGGCGCAAGCCUGAUCCAGCCAUACCGCGUGGGUGAAGAAGGCCUUCGGGUUGUAAAGCCCUUUUGUUGGGAAAGAAAAGCAGCAGGUUAAUACCCCGCUGUUCUGACGGUACCAAAAGAAUAAGCACCGGCUAACUUCGUG
rnacentral:rRNA from 1 species